UAUCCGGAAUUAUUGGGCGUAAAGGGCUCGUAGGCGGUUCGUCGCGUCCUGUGUGAAAGUCCAUCGCUUAACGGUGGAUCCGCGCCGGGUACGGGCGGGCUUGAGUGCGGUAGGGGAGACUGGAAUUCCCGGUGUAACGGUGGAAUGUGUAGAUAUCGGGAAGAACACCAAUGGCGAAGGCGGGUCUCUGGGCCGUCACUGACGCUGAGGAGCGAAAGCGUGGGGAGCGAACAGGAUUAGAUACCCUGGUAGUCCACGCCGUAAACGGUGGAUGCUGGAUGUGGGGACCAUUCCACGGUCUCCGUGUCGGAGCCAACGCGUUAAGCAUCCUGCCUGGGGAGUACGGCCGCAAGGCUAAAACUCAAAGAAAUUGACGGGGGCCCGCACCAGCGGCGGAGCAUGCGGAUUAAUUCGA
rnacentral:rRNA from 1 species